rnacentral:tRNA from 1 species
GGAGGGGUGGCCGAGUGGCUGAAGGCGAUGGUUUGCUAAAUCAUUGUAGGUUUAACGCCUACCGCGGGUUCGAAUCCCGCCUCCUCCG